UACGUAGGGGGCAAGCGUUGUCCGGAUUUAUUGGGCGUAAAGAGCGUGUAGGCGCCAGACAGGUCCGUUGUGAAAACUCGAGGCUCAACCUCGAGAUGUCGAUGGAAACCGUCUGGCUAGAGUCCGGAAGAGGAGUGUGGAAUUCCUGGUGUAGCGGUGAAAUGCGCAGAUAUCAGGAAGAACACCAAUGGCGAAGGCAGCUCGCUGGGACGGUACUGACGCUGAGACGCGAAAGCGUGGGGAGCAAACAGG
rnacentral:rRNA from 1 species